rnacentral:rRNA from 1 species
AUGAUCCGUAAUCACUUACAAAGAUGUGUAGCACCAGACUGUAAGACGAUAAUUCCUGACAUGAUCAAGCAUGUUCCUCAGUCUCGGUUUUGGUUCACUGUGAUUGAAGCAUUGAGAGAUCAGCAUUCUAUUGAAAGAUUGACUGAAGAGAUGUUGCGCCAACUUGCAUCACACCAUUUAAAUGAUGAAGAAGCGUACUGGAUUUUGUGGACUCUGUUUAAUCAGAGUAUCAUGCAUAUUGCUGUUAUGAGGGCAAUGUUUAUUGACAAAUUUUUGCUUUGGAAAACAUUUCCAUUAUGCUGCCUGAGAUGGAUUCUUCAUUAUGCUGUCUUUGAAUUCCCACCAAAUUCAGUCGCAGAAGCCCAAAUGCGAAGGACAUCAAACUUCCUGGUUACAUUGCAAUGUUUAGUUACUGUUUGGUCCAAGAAAGAGUUUGUUCAGUCAUAUUCAGUGGAGCAACAAGCUUAUAUCACUGCAGCAAUAGGGUUAUGUUUGGAGAACAUGUCAAAAGAAGAAUUAGAAAUGAAUAGAGAUGUAUUAAAUUGUAUUCUUCAAGGAGUAAGCUGUAGGUUAGAGAGCCCAAUUGAUUUAGUCCGGAAAAUGGCAAGUGCUGUUGCAUUGACAUUUUCUAAAGUCGUUGAUCCAAAAAAUCCUCUUUACCUUGAUGAUGACUGUUCUGAGAAUGUUGACUGGGAGUUCGGGGUUCUCUCUCCAAAGGAGAUCACAGCUCCUUCACAUGAUGUAGAAUUUGGAAGCAAAUCAAAACCAUGUCCACGUAAGAACAGGAAACAUGCUGGUGACAAAAAGGGAAAGACUAUCAAGCAUGAUAUUUCAGAUAACAGAGUAAAAAUCAUAGAGAUCAAGUCAAAACUAGAUUCUGAUGAAAUGUCUGGCGCUGCUAUAAAUUUUGAGGAACAUUAUGACGAGGAAAGCAUUAACAUUGAUGCUUCCAGUGAUUCAUCCCUGGAGCCGUAUGAUCUGUCAGAUGAUGACACUGAUUUGCAGAAGAAUUUCACACAUCUAAGUGAUCUUGCAGCUGCACUGCGAAAACCUGACGAUCUAGAUGGUGUUGAAAGCGCUCUUAGUUCUGCCGAAAAGCUUGUGAGGGCAUCACCUGAUGAGCUGCGCCACUGCUCGGGUGAUCUUGUUCAAGCACUGGUACAUGUUCGUUGUUCUGAUGUCGCGAUGGAAGGCGAGGAAGAUUCUGCUGAAGAAAAGCGACAGAAGGCAUUAGUCGCUUUGCUGGUAACCAGCCCAUUUGAAUCAUUAGAUGUUCUUACCAAAUUGCUAUAUUCAUCGAGUGUGGAUAUAAGUCAGCGUAUUUUAGUUAUUGAUGUUAUGACUGAGGCAGCACAGGAACUUGCUGAAACUAAAAUUGUAAAGAGUGAACAGCGGCAUGGGAACUUGAUAUCUGAUACUUCUCCGUCUUGGCUGGUUCCUAGGGAGAGCGGACCUGUUGGGGCAAGCCCUUGGAGAGAGGUAUCAGAAACAGGAUCACUUUUGAAAAAUUGGUCACACCGGUAUGAAAGAGAAGUUCCAUCUAGACCAGGCCAGGUUAAAUCAGGAAAAUCUCGCAAAUGGGGUCUUGGGAAAGCAAAAGAUUCGCAGGUGGAGCGGUCAAAAAACAGAUUUCCUUUGUAUGCUGCUGCAUUUAUGCUCCCGGUUAUGGAAGGAUAUGACAAGAGAAGACAUGGGGUGGACUUGCUCAAUCGGGAUUUUGUUGUCCUAGGUAAAUUGAUAUACAUGCUUGGUGUCUGUAUGAAGUGCAUGGCAAUGCAUCCGGAAGCAUCAGCCAUUGCCCCAGCUUUUCUGGAUAUGAUAAGAGCCAGGGAGGUCUCGCAACAUGCUGAAGCAUAUGUGCGAAGGUCUGUGUUGUUUGCAGCUUCUUGUGUAUUGAUAGCCUUGCACCCGUCAUAUGUUGCAUCAGUUCUUAUAGAAGGCAACCAGGACAUUUCUACUGGUUUAGAAUGGAUACGUACAUGGGCCUUGCGUAUUGCUGAAGCUGAUCCUGAUACAGAGUGCACAUCGAUGGCCAUGGCCUGCGGCUCCAUUCAGAGAUGGUGCUCCAGACAUCCCGCGCCCUGGAAUCUGCAGAACAUUCCAAGGCUGGCACCAGAGCACUACCUUCUAAGCUCGAUAACAUUAUAA